UGAACUGGUUUCGGUGUUCAUUCAUUCAGAGGAGAUUCAGCUCCUGACAGUUCGCCGCCCUCUGCAUCUGCCACUCGUCCCUCGCUACGCCACGGGGUUGCCUGCUGCCAGAUUCGCCGCCGGAGUGCGCACGGCCCGCACCGCCAAUGCCUGUCAGCUCGUUGGUUUCCGGCGCUUCACCGUCAGUUCUUCGUGCCAGAAGGUGCCCGACCACGGAAGGCCGGCGGCUACGUUAUCCGACCGACACCGCAUCGGCCUAGAUGGGUUCUUCCCCAACUCCGGCCCCAACACAAACUCACUCCAGUCUCCGGUCCAGGUCCACCUGAGCGCGCCGCCCCCUUCUGGAAGACGUCCAACUUCCUCUGUUGUUGUAGGUGUAUUCACCUCAUCUGGUGCAACAAUAGUAUCCCAGUUAGUUGACCAUGCACUCGUCUGUUGUAUUUGCUGAAGCAACAUAUCAUCAGUUCUAAUCAAGGUACCUAUCACUUCCUAAAGUACAGACGUAAAGUAAAAAAAAAUAUUGUGGGGAUUGCUGAUGUUAAAUUUGUCACUCAGUAAAACAUAUUGUGACCAUAUGAGUAACCUAUUGUUUGUUUUAGUACUACCAGGCACUGAGUUCCAAUUUAAUAGGGAAUUGCCUAUCUUAUGAUUCA